GAUGAACGCUGGCGGCGUGCCUAAUACAUGCAAGUCGAGCGAACAGACGAGGAGCUUGCUCCUCUGAUGUUAGCGGCGGACGGGUGAGUAACACGUGGAUAACCUACCUAUAAGACUGGGAUAACUUCGGGAAACCGGAGCUAAUACCGGAUAAUAUUUUGAACCGCAUGGUUCAACAGUGAAAGACGGUUUUGCUGUCACUUAUAGAUGGAUCCGCGCUGCAUUAGCUAGUUGGUAAGGUAACGGCUUACCAAGGCAACGAUGCGUAGCCGACCUGAGAGGGUGAUCGGCCACACUGGAACUGAGACACGGUCCAGACUCCUACGGGAGGCAGCAGUAGGGAAUCUUCCGCAAUGGGCGAAAGCCUGACGGAGCAACGCCGCGUGAGUGAUGAAGGUCUUCGGAUCGUAAAACUCUGUUAUUAGGGAAGAACAUAUGUGUAAGUAACUGUGCACAUCUUGACGGUACCUAAUCAGAAAGCCACGGCUAACUACGUG
rnacentral:rRNA from 1 species